rnacentral:rRNA from 1 species
GAUCAUGGCUCAGGACGAACGCUGGCGGCGUGCCUAACACAUGCAAGUCGAGCGGAGACAUACGACGGAUAGGAAGUUUCGGAUGGAAUUGAAGAUGUAUGUUUAGCGGCGGACGGGUGAGUAACGCGUGAGCAACCUGUCCUUCACAGGGGGAUAACACAGCGAAAGUUGUACUAAUACCGCAUAAGACCACAGUAUCACAUGGUACAGGGGUCAAAGGAGCAAUCCGGUGAAGGGUGGGCUCGCGUCCGAUUAGAUAGUUGGUGAGGUAACGGCCCACCAAGUCGACGAUCGGUAGCCGACCUGAGAGGGUGAUCGGCCACAUUGGGACUGAGACACGGCCCAAACUCCUACGGGAGGCAGCAGUGGGGAAUAUUGGGCCAAUGGGGGAAACCCUGACCCAGUAACGCCGCGUGAGGGAAGAAGGUUUUCGGACCGUAAACCUCUGUCCUUGGUGAAGAGUAAGAGACGGUAGCCAAGGAGGAAGCCCCGGCUAACUACGUGCCAGCCGCAGC